rnacentral:rRNA from 1 species
GACGAACGCUGGCGGCGUGCUUAACACAUGCAAGUCGAACGGAAAGGCCCUGCUUGCAGGGUACUCGAGUGGCGAACGGGUGAGUAACACGUGGGUGAUCUGCCCUGCACUUCGGGAUAAGCCUGGGAAACUGGGUCUAAUACCGGAUAGGAGCCAUUUUUAGUGUGAUGGUUGGAAAGUUUUUUCGGUGUAGGAUGAGCUCGCGGCCUAUCAGCUUGUUGGUGGGGUAAUGGCCUACCAAGGCGGCGACGGGUAGCCGGCCUGAGAGGGUGGACGGCCACAUUGGGACUGAGAUACGGCCCAGACUCCUACGGGAGGCAGAAGUGGGGAAUAUUGCACAAUGGGCGCAAGCCUGAUGCAGCGGCGCCGCGGGGGGGAUGACGGCCUUCGGGUUGUAAACUCCUUUCGCUAGGGACGAAGCUUUUUGUGACGGUACCUAGAUAAGAAGCACCGGCUAACUACGUG